rnacentral:lncRNA from 1 species
AACAAGCAGCAGCUGCUGGGGAGCAGGAGAUUAUUUAGGUGGGCUUCCAGGGGCAUCCUGUAACUGUAGGGUUGAGCUUGUGGGGGCUCUGCUUGGGGUUGUUUGCUGCCUUUGGAUGGGGCUCCUGUCCUGGCUCUCUCUGUCAGAUCUCACUUAGCUACCAGUCCACCCUUGGAUUAUGGGAACUGGUGAGGCCAAGCAUUGGGAAGACACCUUGUCCCUCCUCAGCUUUGCUUCACCACGUGGUGCCAGAUAGGAAGCCUGUUUAGCGAUGUCACUUGUUCCUGCCUUCCCUGGGUGAGGGUGCUCUGUGUGCAAAUGGACAAACACUUCCAUUUGCAAAGGUUCACCAUGUGUUGUAAGCAGAGAAGAGCCAAAGCUUUGGACACUGUCUAUGAAUCUGUGUUGCCACAGAAGUCACUUCUGUCUGCAUGUGCAGCAGUUACACUUCUAACUCAGCUGUCAGAUCUUUCAGAUAUUAUUAACCACUGUGGAAAGCAUAAUGUUCACAGCAGUAUACAUGAACUUUUAUGGGAUCAAAUCCAUUUGCAAUUCUGGAUCCAAAACCUCUCCUGAAAUUGGACUGCUGCCUCAAUAGAGUGGGCAAGAAUGUAGGCCUCAAGCCAGGGAUCAUCUGCACCCCAUCAGCCACCAAACUGAGCUGUAAAACUCUCUACCUGCUCCACAUGACUUGUUCACUCAUACAAGCUUGCUGUGUGAUAACACGGAAAGAAAAGCAUCUGUGCAUCUGCUAUGCCGACCUUUAGCACUGCAUAAUUCACAGAAUCUGGUGCUUGAGAUGUGCAGGACCUGAGCAAGGCUGCAGUCUGUGUCUGCUGCUAGAAACCUCUCUAAUGCCUUGCACAACACUUUGUGGGUCCUGUUCUGGAGACCAGGGUGCUCUGGCAGCCUUAGGUCCACCUUACGGAAGCAGCUCCCAAGUUUUGGGUUAGAUUUGGCCCAACCUGAGUGUGGCAAACCCCAGAAAGCUGCUUCACACUAUUCUAAAUCCAGCUUCCAUUAUCUAUAUUCCUUAAUUAGAGCAAAUGAAUACUAAUUAUUCAUGGCCACUAUUUUAUCAAAGUGAAUGGCAGCAGCAGUUGGAAUCUUUGUCUGUUACGCUUGUACAAUGUUGAUAUAUUCACUUCGUGUGUGCUAUUCUGGUGUACGUUUACAGUGGAAGUGGUAUGAGGCUAAUGCCACGUCAGUAAACAUUUAAAUACUGUUGACUGAGCAGUUGAUGACCCUAAAUAGGGAGCACAAAAUGUUAAGAGCAAGGAGGCUUACAUUAGCAUAGCCCCUUCUAUAAAUAUGUGCUAAACCAUAGUUAAGUUCAUAGAAGUCCCCUAUUUGAGUAACUCAGCAAAACAUUGCUGGUUUUCAUUCUCUUUGACUGAAUUUUGUGGUUAGUCAACAUUUUAAUAUAAUUAAUUAACACCAUCACCUGACAAAACUGCCGUACUUGCUGACACUGCUGGAAAAAGGAAUUUAAAAAUGUCGGGGAGAGUAAGAAAGGUUCUGAUAUAUUUGGCCCUGUCUGGCAUGUCAAUAUGUACUGAUCCAUUUCACCUUUGUUCAUAUUUUCAUGAACGGAAUUUAUCAUAAAAAUAGGUUCUC